CCGUGAUUUGCUAUUCUGCGGCUAUAAAGGGUAACAUUUUACUGAUCCUAAUUUUUUUCACAUCGAAUUAUGUCCAGAAUCGCCGCCCUUGCCCUGUGCUCGUGUCGAUCUAAACAGCAGCUUUGCAGAGCUUAAAAAAGGACCUUGUUCAAAUGCUCUCCAUGUUCAUGGCUUGUUCCUAUUUUCGAGGCAGUUCCUUAACUUCCAGUCUGUACCAGCGAGCCUGAAUGAUCCAGUAUGACGAUUGUGCGUUUUCAAAGUGUCCAUUUCAUUGAACUGUACCUGUUUAAUGUGAUUUUUCCGAACGUUCACGCUGCCGACUAGCGAGAAAUAGCUGUCCAACCUACGAAUAGCAGAGGCCAGCUAAAUUAUCUCCACGGGCUCUUCACACGCCGUCGUCGGGUACGGUCACCAUCAUCACAGUUACCAGGGAUUAACUGUCAUCCCGCGAGUGGAUUAGAGUGAUGGUCGGUGAUACGUCUACACGGAAACUAGAUGUUCGAGAAGUCUAGGAACGUGUAGUUAAAACGGAAUGUUUUGAGUUUUACGUUUGGGACUGCCGUUUGGCGUUCCAUCAGACGGUGUAAUUCUUCACUGCUACUACGACUACAGCCUAUUACUACGACCAUUACAGUGAGGUAAUAGCCCGCAGAAUCAGAGUCAGCGUCUGAUUGACCCUUAACCUACUCCCGUUC